rnacentral:rRNA from 1 species
UACGGGGGGGGCAAGCGUUGUUCGGAAUUACUGGGCGUAAAGGGCUCGUAGGCGGCCAACUAAGUCGGAUGUGAAAUCCCCAGGCUCAACUUGGGAACUGCAUCCGAUACUGGAUGGCUUGAAUCCGGGAGAGGGAUGCAGAAUUCCAGGUGUAGCGGUGAAAUGCGUAGAUAUCGAGAGGAACACCAGUGGCGAAGGCGAGUCUCUGGACGACUCCUGACACUGAGGCACGAAAGCUAGGGGAGCAAACAGG